rnacentral:rRNA from 1 species
UGGGGAAUAUUGCACAAUGGGCGCAAGCCUGAUGCAGCCAUGCCGCGUGUAUGAAGAAGGCCUUCGGGUUGUAAAGUACUUUCAGCGGGGAGGAAGGGAGUAAAGUUAAUACCUUUGCUCAUUGACGUUACCCGCAGAAGAAGCACCGGCUAACUCCGUGCCAGCAGCCGCGGUAAUACGGAGGGUGCAAGCGUUAAUCGGAAUUACUGGGCGUAAAGCGCACGCAGGCGGUUUGUUAAGUCAGAUGUGAAAUCCCCGGGCUUAACCCGGGAAUUGCAUCUGAUACUGGUCAGCUAGAGUCUUGUAGAGGGGGGUAGAAUUCCAGGUGUAGCGGUGAAAUGCGUAGAGAUCUGGAGGAAUACCGGUGGCGAAGGCGGCCCCCUGGACAAAGACUGACGCUCAGGUGCGAAAGCGUGGGGAGCAAACAGG